AUGUUUCCUGACCUCCACGUAACAACAGGGAUUAUUGGAAGUGUAGUCUGCUUUCUCCUCUAUGCAGCACCAAUAUUGACAUUCAGAAGAGUGAUAAAGAAGGGCAGCGUAGAAGAAUACUCAUGCAUACCAUAUAUCUUAACUUUGUUCAGCAGCCUCACAUAUACUUGGUACGGUCUUCCAGUAGUGAGCUCCGGAUGGGAGAAUUGGACUCUGUCCGGAAUCAGCUCACUAGGAGUGCUCUUUGAAAGCACAUUUAUCAGUAUAUACAUAUGGUUUGCACCACGAGAGAAAAAGAAGCUUGUCAUGAUGAUGGUAUCUCCAAUUCUAAUCAUCUUCGGCAUGGCUGUAUUUUUCUCAAUUUUCUCAUUCCACACCCACCAAAUGCGUAAAGUAUUUGUCGGUAGCAUUGGUUUGGUGGCUUCCAUAUUAAUGUAUGGCUCUCCGUUGGUAGCUGUGAAACAAGUUAUCAGGACGAAAAGUGUGGAGUUCAUGCCUUUCUACUUGUCAUUGUUUAGCUUCUUGACAAGUUUACUCUGGAUGCUGUAUGGGCUCCUUGGAAAGGAUCCUUUUCUCACGGCACCAAGCUUCAUUGGCUGCUUAAUGGGUAUUCUUCAGUUGGUCGUGUACUGCAUUUACAGCAAAUGCAAAGAAGCACCCAAGACGAAUCCUGAUAUUGAGCAAGCAGAUGAACUGAAAGUUGUAACUAGUCAAGACAACACGAAAGGACAAAAGCCAUAA
rnacentral:rRNA from 1 species